CUUGUUCAGUGCCAAGUUAUGCUUAACAUCUGAUAGUUUCUCCAUUGGAGAACAACAAAUGUUAAACUGAUUUUUGGAAUCGGACGGAGUGCUAGGGGCUUGCUCCACCUCUGUCACGGGUUGGCCCGGUAUUGCAGUACCGCCGGGACUUUGGCCCAACUAAA